CGUGCAGGCGGUUUUCUAAGUCGGACGUGAAAGCUCCCGGCCCAACUGGGAGAGGCCGUUCGAAACUAGAAGACUUGAGGAUGGUAGAGGUAAGUGGAAUUCCCGGUGUAGUGGUGAAAUGCGUAGAUAUCGGGAGGAACACCAGUGGCGAAGGCGGCUUACUGGGCCAUUCCUGACGCUGAGACGCGAAAGCUAGGGGAGAGAACG
rnacentral:rRNA from 1 species